rnacentral:rRNA from 1 species
GACGAACGCUGGCGGCGUGCUUAACACAUGCAAGUCGAACGGAAAGGCCCUGCUUUUGUGGGGUGCUCGAGUGGCGAACGGGUGAGUAACACGUGAGUAACCUGCCCUUGACUUUGGGAUAACUUCAGGAAACUGGGGCUAAUACCGGAUAGGAGCUCCUGCUGCAUGGUGGGGGUUGGAAAGUUUCGGCGGUUGGGGAUGGACUCGCGGCUUAUCAGCUUGUUGGUGGGGUAGUGGCUUACCAAGGCUUUGACGGGUAGCCGGCCUGAGAGGGUGACCGGCCACAUUGGGACUGAGAUACGGCCCAGACUCCUACGGGAGGCAGCAGUGGGGAAUAUUGCACAAUGGGCGGAAGCCUGAUGCAGCAACGCCGCGUGCGGGAUGACGGCCUUCGGGUUGUAAACCGCUUUCGCCUGUGACGAAGCGUGAGUGACGGUAAUGGGUAAAGAAGCACCGGCUAACUACGUGCCAGUAGCCGCGGUGAUACGUAGGGUGCGAGCGUUGUCCGGAUUUAUUGGGCGUAAAGGGCUCGUAGGUGGUUGAUCGCGUCGGAAGUGUAAUCUUGGGGCUUAACCCUGAGCGUGCUUUCGAUACGGGUUGACUUGAGGAAGGUAGGGGAGAAUGGAAUUCCUGGUGGAGCGGUGGAAUGCGCAGAUAUCAGGAGGAACACCAGUGGCGAAGGCGGUUCUCUGGGCCUUUCCUGACGCUGAGGAGCGAAAGCGUGGGGAGCGAACAGGCUUAGAUACCCUGGUAGUCCACGCUGUAAACGGUGGGUACUAGGUGUGGGGUCCAUUCCACGGGUUCCGUGCCGUAGCUAACGCUUUAAGUACCCCGCCUGGGGAGUACGGCCGCAAGGCUAAAACUCAAAGGAAUUGACGGGGCCCCGCACAAGCGGCGGAGCAUGCGGAUUAAUUCGAUGCAACGCGUAGAACCUUACCUGGGUUUGACAUGGAUCGGGAGUGCUCAGAGAUGGGUGUGCCUCUUUUGGGGUCGGUUCACAGGUGGUGCAUGCCUGUCGUCAGCUCGUGUCGUGAGAUGUUGGGUUAAGUCCCGCAACGAGCGCAACCCUUGUUCACUGUUGCCAGCACGUUAUGGUGGGGACUCAGUGGAGACCGCCGGGGUCAACUCGGAGGAAGGUGGGGAUGACGUCAAGUCCUCAUGCCCCUUAUGUCCAGGGCUUCACGCAUGCUACAAUGGCUGGUACAGAGAGUGGCGAGCCUGUGAGGGUGAGCGAAUCUCGGAAAGCCGGUCUCAGUUCGGAUUGGGGUCUGCAACUCGACCUCAUGAAGUCGGAGUCGCUAGUAAUCGCAGAUCAGCAACGCUGCGGUGAAUACGUUCCCGGGGCU